rnacentral:rRNA from 1 species
GACGAACGCUGGCGGCGUGCUUAACACAUGCAAGUCGAACGGAAAGGCCCUGCUUUUGUGGCGUGCUCGAGUGGCGAACGGGUGAGUAACACGUGUGUAACCUGCCCUUGACUUUGGGAUAACUUCAGGAAACUGGGGCUAAUACCGGAUAGGAGCUCCUGCUGCAUGGUGGGGGUUGGAAAGUUUCGGCGGUGGGGGAUGGACUCGCGGCUUAUCAGCUUGUUGGUGGGGUAGUGGCUUACCAGGGCUUUGACGGGUAGCCGGCCUGAGAGGGUGACCGGGCACAUUGGGACUGAGAUACGGACCAGACUCCUACGGGAGGCAGCAGUGGGGAAUAUUGCACAAUGGGCGGAAGCCUGAUGCAGCAACGCCGCGUGCGGGAUGACGGCCUUCGGGUUGUAAACCGCUUUCGCCUGUGACGAAGCGUGAGUGACGGUAAUGGGUAAAGAAGCACCGGCUAACUACGUG